ACUGGCUUUCCUAUUGUAAAUAUUGCUGGGUCAAACCAUGGCGCAUCUUCAGCAUACACAGAAUUUGGUCCUCCAGAUAUGAUGAUAGCUCGAAAGCCCUGCUCCCUGAUGGCAAAGGCAGGCGUCUCCAGGGGGAAGAUCUCGGACUGGACGAAGAGCUCACGCACCCGGCGGUCGAUGACUUUCCCAUACUGUGCACCAGCAUCCAGGAUGACCACAGCUCCCUCGUAGUGGUGCUGCCCGUCCUUCAGCUCUCCUCCCGUGUUCUCUGGCUUGGCGUCUCCGUUGCACAGCGCCAUGGGGACGGCGGUGGGGAGCCGAGGGGAGAAAGGGCCGCGCCGAGCCGGGCCAAGGCCAACCGUGCGCGCCUCCGCCGCGGGGAGGAACCGCCUCCAGCACCCCGCGCCGGGCAGCACCGCCCCGGCUUCCAGCUCCGCCUCUUCCUGCCGGGGCGGGGCGUGGGGCAGCGGUGCUGCAGGCCGGGCGCGGUGUCCCAUCCCUGGGGGUAUCCCAUCCCUGGGGGUUCUCGGGCCGGGCCCCGCGCGCCCCUGGGGUGCAGCCGGCUCACGGCAGGGCUGGGGCAGCGGGGCUGCGAGGUCCCUUCCAACCCAACCGCCCCUCGGUUCUGUUGUGGGUCGUGGUAUAACGAGUGGUUUUACUAAACGACUGCAUUUUAUACUAGCAUAGAACCAUCUACGGCUCAGUAGUUCACACAAUGCUCCAAAAAUAACGCCUCGUAUUUUAUGUAUCCCACGACGUCAGAGGCAGAUGCUGGGGUUGAACCUUCCCAUCUUCCUUUACGUUUUCUCGGGGAAUGAAAGGCACCCGUUGGCAUUCAUCGCUGCUGACCGCUCGUGGAGAUCAAACAGUGGAUGUCAGCACAGCGUGUGGCGCGUUCAGCAGUGCUAACAGCGACGGUGGUCAUCUCCGCUGGCGCAGAUUUGUAUGAGCCCGGCACGAAGGACGCAAGGAGCGGCAUGAGGCGUACAAUAGCGGGGUAUAGCAGCACUGACUCGCUCGGUCCUUACAGACCCGCACAGCUCAGUACGGACUCGCUCCGCACCGUCCCCCCGCCGCACACCGCUGGCUCCAGCUCAGGGCUCUGCCCUUCUGUGGCUCUGCAGCCAGCCCUGCAGCGGGCCGAGCCCUCCGGCCGCCAGCGGGAAGGCCCAGCGGGGCGGUACGGAACCAGCCGCGGCCGAACCGAAACGAACGUCGCGCGGCGCACCCUCA
rnacentral:lncRNA from 1 species